GGGGCUGCACUGGUUUCGACGUGGGUUGGAAUCGCAGUGGUGCAUGUCGAGGUUCAGUCACCUCGUAAAACAGCUGAAACAAACUAACUGCAAACGACGAACGUUUCGCACUCGCCGCUUAAACACCGGUGAGCCUCGCAACAGUUGGCCAAUGGGCUGGGCAAGGGCGGCGCAAGCCGUCCCGGCUGCGAGGGCAUUCACAUUGGCUGGUCUGUGUCCGGGCACCUUGGGCGCAGGCGAGAUUCAAGGGUGCUGGCCGUCCGGGUAGCG
rnacentral:tmRNA from 1 species